GUGACCGCUCGGUUCAAUCUCUAGAGCCUGGUGCAGCUGCUUGCUUCAACGUAAUUGGCUCCUUAUCCUGGAGGGGCUUAUUCAACAAACAAUGAUCAAGCUACCAUAGCAUGCAAUUUACAUUUGUUUUUUAUAUACUAACUCUGUUUGUUGUUCAGUCUUCGCAGCUCAGGACUUGCAUUCUUUCUUAAGGACACAGGCCUCGACACGGACAUCGUCAGCUUCUAGAUUCUGUUGCCAUCGCAAAAUGAUUCUUGAGAAUCCUACGUCUGAGGAGCUGCUGCUUCCAUGUGUACCGCAACAAGCGUGCUUGUGUAUGAGAGUCUUUGUUUCACGGUACAGCGAUAUGAAACAAUAAUUCUUUGUU